rnacentral:rRNA from 1 species
AGAGUUUGAUCAUGGCUCAGGACGAACGCUGGCGGCGUGCUUAACACAUGCAAGUCGAACGGAAAGGCCCUUCGGGGUGCUCGAGUGGCGAACGGGUGAGUAACACGUGGGUGAUCUGCCCUGCACUUUGGGAUAAGCCUGGGAAACUGGGUCUAAUACCGAAUAUGACCAUGCACUUCCUGGUGUGUGGUGGAAAGCUUUUGCGGUGUGGGAUGGGCCCGCGGCCUAUCAGCUUGUUGGUGGGGUAAUGGCCUACCAAGGCGACGACGGGUAGCCGGCCUGAGAGGGCGACCGGCCACACUGGGACUGAGAUACGGCCCAGACUCCUACGGGAGGCAGCAGUGGGGAAUAUUGCGCAAUGGGCGCAAGCCUGAUGCAGCGACGCCGCGUGAGGGAUGACGGCCUUCGGGUUGUAAACCUCUUUCAGCACAGACGAAGCGCGAGUGACGGUAUGUGCAGAAGAAGGACCGGCCAACUACGUGCCAGCAGCCGCGGUAAUACGUAGGGUCCGAGCGUUGUCCGGAAUUACUGGGCGUAAAGAGCUCGUAGGUGGUUUGUCGCGUUGUUCGUGAAAACUCACAGCUUAACUGUGGGCGUGCGGGCGAUACGGGCAGACUGGAGUACUGCAGGGGAGACUGGAAUUCCUGGUGUAGCGGUGGAAUGCGCAGAUAUCAGGAGGAACACCGGUGGCGAAGGCGGGUCUCUGGGCAGUAACUGACGCUGAGGAGCGAAAGCGUGGGGAGCGAACAGGAUUAGAUACCCUGGUAGUCC